rnacentral:lncRNA from 1 species
UUUCACCAAUAUUAGAAUGGAUGAGCUUCUAUGAUUGUCCAAGCCUCAAAACUCUUUCCCCAGAGGAAGUUCACAGUAAUGAUUUGAAGGUGAUAAUAGGAGAGGCAAAAUGGUGGAGAGAAUUGAACUGGAACAAAUCAAAAUGGCCUCAGCUACCCAAUCUGGAUGCUAUCUUUCAUCCAAUUGAACAGGACACUUAUUUCAUUACACGUCUAGCAGAAAUUGACGAUCAACUUCAAGCUAGGAUGCAAGAAACAGAGCUUUCUCAACAGUCAGGUUGUUUUUCCAUUCCUCUUUUUCUUCAAAGAUAAAACACUGAUCUCCAUUUUAUCUUACCUAAACUUGGUCAGGUUAUUUUGUUUUGACAUGACUUCUUUAGUUUCAGGAUAAGCUAUGCCUACAUAGACAUUUGAAUGAAGCAGAAAUUCCCCACAACAUUUGUAUUACCUACGUCCAAGUUUCUUAUUCAGCUCUCUCAUUUUUGGUUUUUUUUCUUGUUGAUGAGGGACAGGUCCUGGUGACUCCCUGAAGGCUCCAGCAGUCAAGGGUGGAACAAGCUCAAAGCAGAAGCAAGUUGCUUAGUUUUACCUAUUCUGUACUAGUUAAGCUUGAGCUACGUAUUAUGGCUAAUUUCCCGACAGCGGCUUACUGUCUUAUUCGUUGUUGUUUGUUUAGUUAUUUCAUGUUGUGCUUGGUUGUGGAGAAAAGGAAACUCAGAACCUUACAGAGACAUUCUUUGGAUUAUCAAACCUUACUUUUCUAGUCUCUUUGAAUAAGUGGUGAUGUGAACUUGCUGUAUGCUCUUGAAUUCAAUAUUCGAAAUCACAUCCUUCAGUUUGAUGUGUACUUAUUGUUUGGUCUGAUCAGCAACUGCUUGAGCCUUUAGCAAAGAAUUACUUAUCAAAUUUGAAUUUUCAAGAGGGACAGAGUAGGUUAGAGGAGGGAGCAGUUCAGUUGCAGCUACAUCAAAACUAAUUUAUAUAUGUGCUUUGGUAGAUAUAAGAUCUGCUUGUACUAAAUUCUAGUAGUUGAUUGCUAAUGUUAAUGGUGUGAGGAAAAUUGUGAUUAAAGUUAAUUUUUUUCUUUCUUUCUUUCACUUUUUCUUUCCUUUAACUUUUCCUCUCUAUGUUCUUAGAUUCCCUCAUAUUUUUUCUUAAAUUUUUUGAAAACCGAACAUAGCCUUAGAGGAGCUAUUAAAGAUCUAAAGGACGUUUCAUGAUUGAGUUAGUAGAAAUUGGUAAUCAAGUUCAUGCUUUGGAGUCAAUAAACAUAUGAUAAACAUGUACAAUUUUCUUUGACUAUCAAAUACUUUGAUGUUAUCUUCAUUUGAGUGGUUUGAUAUAUCCACUCGUACUUCAUAACCCAUUUUCACAUAAAUAAAUAGUAAAAAAAUAAAAUAAAAUGCAAGAGAAAGCUCACAUGUGUGGCAAGCUAUCAUACAUACAUGCAUGUUUUACCUAUGAUCAUACUAUCUCUUGAACAAGCAUUCGAUGAAUCCAUCAAGCAUCACCUAUGCCUUAUCAAAAGGAUUUGUUGAGAAUAUUUACUUAAGAUGAAGAAAUCCACAAAUCUUGCUAAGUUUUAUGUAUGAAUUUUAGCUUUGAUCUUCACUUUAGAGCAUGCCUUUGAUGUAGAAGAGUUUAGCCACUAAUGGAGAACUUAGUCAUCAUUCACCUUGUUUGGUAACCAAGAAAAUGGUAGAAAAUAAUGGAAAGUAGAGAAAAAAAGGGAAAAUCUAAAUUCAAAAAUUGAAAACUCAACAUGAUUGUCUUUAGAAUGUUCCAAAAAAAAAAAACAAUAAAUAAAAACUUCACAUUUCUAACAACCAAGCCUAAGUGUGGACCCCGCAUUUCGAUCGCUCGAAUGCGUUUCUCACUCGAUGGCGAAACUCGAUUUUUAUUUUGAAAAAUUGAUUUUUAUUUUAUUUAUUAGAAAAUGACUUGGAGUCGCCACUUAUUUUUGUUUUAUUUUUUUAAAGGGUAAACAAAAUAAGAAAGAAAAACCCUAAGUGUGACUCCUUAUUUUGGAAAAGACGGCCUGUGAAAAACCGGAUCGGGUUCGGGGGUCAGGUUACUUAUCGGGAAGGUACGGUAAAAACCGUAGCACCCCUCUAAGUCCCUAAAGUCGGGUCUCUACUAAUGAGAUGAAGCUAACGUGGCAAUGAUGAGGAAAUCAAUGAGUACUCAGCAUGAUCGCACAUAUGAGAAUCAGUACAUGCAUGGAGAAUUACAAGAAUGGGAGUGGACACGUACCUAGGUGACAAGCCGCCAUACGCUAUCAAGAAAUAGGGUUAGAGCACAGUUAAGAAAUAAUCUCAUGCAUGUCACAGAUCAGAAUAAAUCAAUCAUGCAUGGCAAUCAAAUCAAUCAAUCAGUCAAUCAAUCAUGAAGUCAAGUAUGUAGGGCCCCCACCAAAGCCUGUUCAUUUUUGCAUGAAUUAAUUCCAUAAAUACCAUUAUUUGGAAUUACGGAAUUUAAUUCUUACUUAUUUUAAAAACAUUUGAAAAAACAAAGAAAAUGCAAAAGUGGCUUGCCGAAAAGAAAAUGGCAACCAAAUUUUAUUGAAAAUGAGAUUUUGAAACCUAAAAACCAUAAAGAUGAAAAAUGAGAGAGUUGGAAUUAUUUGAAAAGCUAAAUUUGAGGAGAUAUUUGCAAAAUGUGAUUUGGAGCAAUUAUUUUUCAAAAACAGAGAUGAGAAGACAGGAGAUUAUAUGCAGCCCAAAGAUGAUCAUUUCAGGCCCUUCAGAGUAUGCCUUUAGGGACUCUGAUUUGAGAAACUGAAGCUGCAUCUGUAAACCAUGGUUGCCAGCACUGACACCCUCAAGGCAUUCAGAGUCGGAUGAAAUCUCUCCUUUGAAUGAUAAUUCCGAAAUGGAAACUGGGCUUGGCUAAUAAGCCUCCUCUAAGCUCAUAAAAGAUUAAGGGUUUGUUCCGGUGCAGCGUGAGGAAACUGAACCUCCACCGGAGGAUCCAAUUGAUGCUUCUUCUAGAAUUGGAGCCAUUGAGUCACAGCCUAGCAGAAUCUCCAUCUCUCACCAACAAGAUGUCGGCUAUUGGUUUGGACUGCUGCUUAUUGGUGGUUCCAAACGACAAGCCAAUAUCCUCAGUUUCAAAAUCAGCCGCAAUGUUGGCAACGACACCUCAGGAACCCCAUAACUUUGUUCAGACAGAUUAUUCUCCUCAAUUUUGUGCUUCAGUUCACUCAAGAUCACACAAACUUCUUGUGCAGCACAACUAUUUCUCUGAAUCCAAGAAAGGGAUGGACGUAGACUUCUGAGAGCCUAGUCUUGAGUUUCUGGGUCCUGAACGUACUUGCAACCUCCUUGAUGUUUUUGUAAGCUCAUCUUUUACACUUCCCGGAACAAGUCGGCGAAGAGCAAUGCAAGGAUGAUGGGAUAGGCCUGACUCCUGAAGCUUCUAGAACUGAGUCUUCCCACUUGAGAUUCUGAAAACAGUCUCCUCUGAGAAAGGAGUUAACCAAAGCUGAAGGAAACGGUUUGAGGUGUUUCGGCUGAUGAUGAAGGUUGGGUACUGAUGGAAAUGAUACGAAAGAUAACAAAUAAGGUUGGUGAUGGAUAUCAGGGGGCAUGAAGAGCGAACAGUGGCGUCAUUCCUAUGUAUACGGGUAAGAAAUGGGUAAGAAAUAGGCAUUGACAGAUGAGGGUCUAAAGAAAGGACAUAGGUGUAAUGAUACGGCUAGGGAAAGUGGAAGUGGGUAUGAAUUAUGGCUGUUCUAGCAGACUUUUCAAACCGUCGUCCAAAUGAGUUUGCAAAAGGUGGUGAAUUCAAAACAUCCAUGCAAUGAAUAGUUGACUGAGAAGUUCACAAAAGAGGCGAAGUGAGUUCCACGAGUCCUAAGGAUCUACUGGCCUUCCACUCAAAUCAACAUGUGUCCCAUCCAUAGCAUCACCACAGGUUGGAUCAGGAUAAUGCAACAUCAAACGUCCCGAACUAUCAGUAGUUGUUGCACUAGUAUAAACUCAGGCAGCUACCCCAUCUUCUCUUCUGAACCGUAGUCGACUGGACUCGACUCUCGGCCGUGACAAUUGCGUUCGCCGCUGCGUUCAUGGUCUCUACGCUAUUAUUCACACUUAUCAUCUUCCUUAUAAGUCACAAAAUCCCCAUAUUCUCAACUCAAACCUCCUCCGGCACUGAAACUUCUAAUUCCGGCUAUUUGUGCUUAAAACUCACUAUAAGAAGCAGCAAGUUUUCCGACGAGAUUCCGAUAUGGAGCUGUGAGUCCGAAGAGAACCAUUCUGCUUUCUGGUUUGGAGAGUUUUUGGUCGGAUUCGUCAUGGGUAAGAGCAUCCACAGCAACAUUAUUAGGAUUAACAAUCCCAUUCACCGCCCCGAUACAACCCAUACUGACCAUAAACCUACUGGCCAGAGAUUCAACGCCGUCCCCAUCUCUCAUUACAUAGCUCAUCAAAUAAUUGCAGUCUAGAUCCACUUGAGACUCGUCUUUAUGAAUUACAGAAGCUCCAAAGUUACGUCCAAUGCUACGCGUAAGCUGGUGGCACAACCUCUUUAUGGAACAGAGGAUGAUGAUCUUAAAAUCCCGUUCUUGGGAUCUGUGAGUCUGUUCCAAGCGACUGCUGAUGGAUUGACACUCAACCAUAGCACUUGAGGGACCCCCCACAUGGCGUAAAGUAGUCCACUUCCAGUCUGUUGCACCUCUAAAUUAUGGGGUUCCGCAAAUUCAGCUUGUAAAUUCAGCUAGCUCAGUCUCCUCAAAUCCUGGGUUGACUUGUAAAGCCUCUUCAACUUUUUCAUAUGUUUCAGUGACUAGAUUACCUUGCUCUUUCAUUUGAACGGCUCCAACCUCUAACUCCUUGAUAGGCCACUGCAAAUUUUAGUGACUUUUCUUCACCAGAUAUGCACUGCCCGCAAUAUCCACUUGUGAAUCUGUGAAGUUACCAAACGCAAGAGACCCUAUUCAUUUGAUUCUCAAAACCCAUAAGACAUACCCGCCAGCACAUGAGGAUUAGGAAUUGGUUUCAUCAAGCAUCUCUGCUUCUUCAGGCUGGCACUUUUCCAAACAGCCAUGCGCAUUUGCUUGGAUCACAACUGUCGAACAUUCCGAGCAUUAAGCUAUGUGCUUACAAAUAUGACAUGAGGGAAAUUCCUCCACCAUCCAUACAUGUACUAACAGCAAACAGUAGCAUCCUCGGUACCCAUACAUUAAUACUUGACCCUCAAAUCUGAAGGAUAUUCUGAAUAUGAAGCGGGUUGUUUCCUUAUGAGCUUUCCGGUCUUCUCAUGCCAUGAGGAAGAAUUAUUUAAACGGUGGUCAGGGGAAUGAGUUCAUAGGGUGAUGAAAUAAAUGGGUUUGGGGAAAAUGAAUGAGGAACGGGUUAGAUGGCAUUGGGUUUGGUGGAUGAAGCAUGGAAGAUAAGAUAGUGUAUGAUAGACAGCCGUGCAUGCAUGAGACUCCACGUACGUGACAAGAUCGAAGGCAAGCGGGUGAUGAGAGAAUGAUACAAAGGGUAAUGGAAAGUGAUGAAGGAAAGUGGGUUCAAUGAUAAAACGGCUGCAGCAAGGGGCAUAUUGAGUGAGUGAGAGUGAUGACAUAGUGCAUGGUGGUGUAGAGAGAGAAAGUAGAUUAUUGGUGAUGGGUAUGAGGGCAUGAGGACUGAUCAAUGGGCAUGACGAGGUCAGAUAGGUGGAGCCACGCUGGUGAAAUUGUAAUGGACAACAUCCUGCUUAUCCAAGCACUUCAUCUUGCCAAUGGUGGGUGUUAAUGAACCUUAGGUAAUUGGAGCUCACAUCAAACAUAGUCACCAAUGCUGUGGUUGCCAUUGACGUUCCCUGUAGCUUUCACCUUCUUGUUAAUUUCUGCAUGCCUAAUUCCAUCAUUAUCAACCUUGAAAUCGUGCUUCCUCUCAAUGCCUAUGUUGUCUUAAUUUUCAAGACACGAUAGCAAGAUCAUUGGAUACUUCAAUCACGACAGUUGGGUGGGCACUUGCAGAACUAGAGAGCUUGGAGUACCCGGACAGGGGUGUGAAAGAAACCUUGAGACUCCAACCAGUGGUUCCUCAACUCAUCCCUCAUAAGUCCCUGGAAGACUGUACAAUCAAUGGCUUCCACAUCUCUCAAAAGUCCCGAGUCAUGGUAAGCGUAUAUGCCAUAGGGCAAGACCUUAAUGUAUGGACUGACACAGAGAAGUCCUUCCCUAAAAGGUUCAUUGGAAGCAGUAUAGAUCUCCAUGGAUGCAACUUCGAACUCAUCCCAUUUGGCUCAGAUAGAAGAGAAUACCCAGGAAACGUAGUGAAAAUUCUCCAUGUUGGCUUAAUGAAGUUGAAAGCCAGCUGAAAACUAAGACUCCACACAUUCACCGAGAUUUUUGAACAAACAUCAUGCUGCUCUCCUUAGUAACUAACACACUCAAAGACCAUCAAUGUGCUGAUUUGCUUUCUAAAGAAUGAUCAAUAUUUUCUCUGCCCCCUCGUAUUAUCAACUUGCUGCAUUUCUCUGAUUCCUCUUACUGCUUUACCAAAAGCCUUCGUUUAUAACAUAGUGAUCCAGAAACCUUCCCCAUCAUUCACCUUUGCAUUGACCAAACUUUCCUUACUUCAGUUUAGAAUCACCAUUAUCAUGGAAUAGCAUUCCUCUUCGGGCAGAGAUGGGAAAUCUGAGGCAUGACAGGGAUGGGUACCAGGAACAGGGGAAGGUGGAGAAACAGAGCAUAAAAUAAAAUGAGUAAAUAAAGGAAGCCUCAGAAAAUUCACUUCAUAGGUCAUCAGUGAAUCCUCCGAGCAGGUGAGUAAGACAACCAGGGGCAUGAUUCCUGGGCAUUUCAUCAACACCAUAGAGACACAGCAAAUUCAAAAUGGACAAUGGCAAGCAUGAAUGCAGGGUUACAUCUCAACAAACAAAUUGGUGGCCUUCAUUACCCACCCAAACAACAUAGUGAUGCGUAAAACAAUAGCAGCCUGAGGAAAUUAAACAGUGAAUAACUAAAAACGUGAGGAUGGUAAUAUCCAUACCUGAGUUCUUCAAGAUGAUGAUGAUCCAGUUUCUGCCCUCUCCUCAAAUGGCAGAAGAGGCGUCCUCUCCAACUUCAAAAAAACAAUGGAAUCUCUCCUCUCCUCAAAUCUCUCUGAAUCCUUCUUUUUUUCUUCUCACUCAAAAGCUCUCUGCAGCCCCCCCAAAAACCAGCUUUUUCCUUCCCUUUACCCCAAAAUAACCAAACAAAAGCUCCUCCUCUCUAAAAGAUCUCUGCAGUCCCCUCUAAAAGCAACCACCUCCUACCUGCAGGAGACGCUCCUCCUCUAACAGAAACGCACUCCUCCAAUAACAGACUCUGAAUCCCCUGCAUAUCCUCCAAUAGCUGUUACUUUCUCAUUCGUCCAUCAGCUCCACUAAGCUGAUUCCACAGCCACCAACCAGGAGGCAACACUUGGCUUUCAAAGAGCCCUCCAGCUGGCAAGUGAGCUGCAAAAAAUGAAAGAAAAAAAAAGUGCCCCUAAUAGGGGUCUACACUAAGUGUUCAAACUUGGUCAAAAAAAUUAUACCAAAUAUCAUAUCUCACUAGUUUGAGCUAACAAUAGGCAAAAAAAUGUCUGGUAUCAAAAUGCUCUAAUACCACUAUACAGAUUUCGAUAGCAUCUCAACAAUCAUCUUCAGAAUCCAAGCAAGCCUUCCAUUAAGAACUUCAAUUUUUCUCCGACUUCAUAUGUAAAAUUUGGGAAAUAGCAUCAUUCAAAGGGAUUGCAUGUUCAUCACUUUGUCCUACCUUCCAAACCUCAUACUUUGAAGCACCUGCAUUAAUUUCACUCCAACGCCUCAAUAAUGGCAAUGAAAAUGGCCCAGGUCUCUCACCAAGAGGACUUAGACAGUGUCAUGCUUCACUUUCAAGCUUAGAUGACCUUUGUUUCUUACUUGCAACCUUGAGACUCUUCUCAUCAUAACCAUCAUCUCUCAUCCUAGAUUGGUUAUGACGAAUCUCAAAAGAUUGUUUCUUUUCUUCAACAACUACAAAUAAAUGAAAAGAUGCUUGAUUAAACUUGUACUUGAAUCUAUGAACUAAAAAAAUGGUCAAAAUCAAAUUAAAAAAAAAAAUAUAAGAGAAUUUCAAUUUUUAAAAGUCUAUAAAUAAAGAAUUUUUUUAAAAUAUAUAUCUUAAUUAAUGCAUGCCAUGUGGUCCAACCUCUAAGAGAAAAAGACUUCAUGUAGGAUUUUUGGCAUAUAUAAAUGCACAUACACAAAUGUAUAUACAUGUGUACAUAUACAUGUGCAUAUUAAAUUAAAGGAGUUUAAAGAUAUUUAUAACCAGAUAAUUUCUAUAAGAUUACUUCCCUACAUCAACCAUGCAUAUUUUUAAGAGCAUAUUUUUACACUUUCUCCACAUAUGAUUUAAAACAAUCAUUUUUUAUUUUUUUGGAAAAUGUAUAUUUUGAUUGCAAAUCUAAUUUACUAAUUGUAAAACAUUUAAUUAUUAAGUGAAUCAACAGAAUCAUUAGAAUUUUUUUUUUCUGAUUUUAACCAAAAUCAAUUUUUUGGACACUCGUAAAGUAGAAAGAAAUUUCAUUACCUUCAAAACUAUCCUUUGGAUAUUCAUUGGGCCCAUGAAUAACAUUGCUCAAGAGGAUUGCCUGAUCUUUGCAUUCUUCUACCUUCCAAACCUUAUAUUUUAAAGCGUAAGGAUUAACAUCACUCUAGCUUUUAAGCAUAGGCAAUGAAAAACGCCCUGCACUUUCACCAAGAGGACCUUGGCAACGCCAUGCUUCACAUCUAGGCCUAGUCUUUGUUGUUUCUUUCUUGUUUCAUCCUUGUGAUCCUGUUAGUUGUAAUUUUUAUUCGAGUCAAUAUAUUGAGCUCCUAAUGGCUCUUGCCUUUAAGGGAAAAAUAAGGCUUCAUUUCACAUAGAUUUAUUUGAAGACUUACAUCAAAUCGAUCCAUGGGAGUAUGAGUCUAAAUUGCUAAAGCUGCUUCCAAGAUUAUAAACUAGAUUACAAACUAAAAAAGAAACAUAAACUAAUUAAAGAAAAAACAUGCAAAACACUUUCGUUAAUAGAGGACUCAAAUUCUACAUUCUUAACCUUUCAAUAACUCCUUCUAUAGGGGAGUCCGAGCUGGAACUCAAACCUCCUAAUAAUUACUUACCAUAUUUAUUAGUCACAAUUUAAAUUUUUCAAAGGAAUCCUUCAGCUUUUAUAGGAUCAACUUUUUUUUAGAAUCUUGUUCAGGUUUUAUCGAGAAUCUUGUUAAACUUUUUUAGAAAAUUUUGUUCAAGUUUUGCAAGGAAUCUUAUUAAGCUUUUUUAAAUAAUCUUGUUCAAGUUUGGCGGAAUCUUAUUCGACUUUCACAAAGAAUUCAGUUUUUAUAAGGAAUCUUUCAACUUUUACAAUAAAUUUUAUUCAGCUUUUGCAAGGAAUUUUCAUCAUUUUUUUUAAGAAAUCCUAUUUAGUUUUUCAUUAGAGUAUGGGUUUCUUAGGUGGUCCCCUUCAAAAUCUUCCUAGUCAUCCCAGUCAUCAAAAUCCUCAUUAUCAUAAUAGCAACGAAUGGAUCAUGUCUAUAAUUGAAUAAGCGCUCUAUGAAUAUCAUAGUCAUAAAAUGUGGUUAACUAGCAAAAUUUAUUUUAUUAAUUGUCUUUUAAAGACUAGAUUUUUAUGAGCUUCCUUUUGAUACUUUGGCAAUGGGGAAAUAAAUUUUCAAUGGGUAAAGAGCAAUGCCCUUUUCAUCUCUAUGGCUAUGAUCCAAUAAGGUCUUACCUUAUUAUUAUUCAUUAAGGCACAAGAUGAAGAUGACCUAGACGCACUUCAAAAUAUUGAUGCUUUUCAUUAAUAAUUCCAUCAAAAUACUAUUAGUCAUCAUGAUAUAAAGAAAAAAGACCAAAAUUAAAUUAAAAAGAUAAGAGUAUUUCAAAAUUUUAGAGUCUAUAACUAGAGACAAAAAAUAAGAAAAAGAAAAACAAAAUGUAUCGUUCACCCGCAUGUGUGUGUCAUAUGGAUUUUGGACAUGUAAGUAAACAUAUGUAUACACACACAUACAUAUAUUUUUAUUGUGAAAAUUGUUAGUAAAAUUUUUAUUUUGAAAAUUAUUGUUCCGAAAGUGCUAAGAAUUUUCACUACCAAAAUUAUUUAUUUGAUUAUUGUUCAUUGGUCGAUUGUUGAGUUGAUUGAAAGUACCUUGAUUUUUCUUUUAAUUAAUUGAUGUUUUGAACUACAAUAUUUGCUGAGUCUUGUAAGGAACACCAUUUUUUAUAUCUAAAUAACUCUCUUGAAUCAAUAACAUACGUUUAAAUUCUCCUAUCCUAAGUUCAAAAAUACCUAUAGAAUUUUAAAUUCUCCUACAUCAAUUUCACCAAUACCUCCAGGUUUAGUGCUGAUAGAUGUCACAAAGGAUUCAAUCUCAAGACUUGAACCACUUUGGAUAUGCUUGAUUUGCUCUUCCCAUGGUACCAAAUGGCCAAUUUUUACCAAGUAUCUAGUCAUUAAAAGUGUACCUUGUUUUGUAGAUUGAAGUUGAAUUCGAUGCUGGCUAAUUGAGAGGUGAACAACUUUUCCAAGUAGUCCCAAGCUGCAAACGAGGCUUAAUGGUAAUGAGAAAAUCUAUAAUUCAGAAUUGUCUGAUCAUGCCCUUGCCGUCGCAGAUAGAGGAUUAAUAGUAUUGAAGUAUGGGAGAGUUUUUGACAUGAUCUUCUAAAUCAUACUUCAUUUAUUGUGAGAAUUUGAGAUACCCAUAAUAGAUAACUUGUGUUGAUCAAGCUUAACACUGAGAAAAUGGUCAAGAGGGUUUGAUGGAAGCUAGGGUGGCUAGGCUAAUUGAAUUUCAGCAGCUAGAUUAUCCUAAACAUUGAAGAAGACUGGGAUGUUUGAUCUCUUGUGAAUGAUGCCAUUUUUAAGCUAAUGAAAUUGAAAACUGAAAAAUACAAAAGUUGAAAUAGAAUUAUCUAAAGGAUUGCUAAACUAAUUGAUCCUAAUCCCUGGAAACAAGUCAAUACUCAUCAAGCUUCAACUUGGAAGUUUUCCUGGCCACGGCGAAGUGUGAAGCUCGAGGUCAAAGGUAGGUGGAUGCCGGAGGAAAAAGGGCAAAGUGUGAGGCGUAGGUUGAUGCCGGGCGUUGGCUGUAGUUUCAGCCUGAAACAGAGAAAGGCUAUAGAAAGAAAAAAUGGAAGAGUAACACCUGGGAACAGAGGAAUUAAGACAGUCCACCAAAAAACAGAGGAACCCUUUUUCUUUGACUUUGUAUUCUCGGUUCUGAUAUUUUUUGUUGUACAAUCACUAGAUUUCAAACCAGAUGCAAAGAGAUUUAACUUGAGUAAAUCUCUCCACGUGGAAGCAUGACAACCACUCAAAAUAACCUAACACAGCAUAGGCACAUUAUGUUACACCGGGGGAAGAAGAGCAAAGUGUGAAGCGUCGGUGGAUGCCGGAGGAAGAAGGGCAGAGUGCGAAGCUUGAGAUCAAAGGUAGGUGGAUGACAAAGGGGUAAUUCAAUGGCCUGAGAAAGUAGUACACCCACCCCCUAUCGAUCAUCCCUUCCGGUGGUAGUGAGGGAUGGACCCCAAGAGGAGAAAGACCCAAGACUUUGCGGACAAGGCUGAUUCCACUGCUACGGAUACUGGGAAUUCGGGUAUAGCGGAGUCCCAAGCCACUGAUUCGAAGGCCGAGCCUGUGGAACUCAAUGCAGAAACCCGAAAGAGUCAUUACCCCAAACUGUAAGUGCUGCAUGUUUUCACUUGUGUCAUUUUAUCAGUAUCACCAUUGUUAUGGCCAUGAAUUUUAGUCCUGAAUCUAAUUUAUCGGAAUUUGGAUUCCUGGGGGCGACUGAUCAGUAUGGAAAAUAGGAAAAGCACUCUGAAUGGUUUUCGUGAGCAUCACGGGCUUCCCCGAAGGCAGCGUGAGCAGGGGCGGCUUGGUCAGCAGUGGUGGAGCAUGUAUGUAUUUUUAUCACUGUAUAUAUAGGGAGAGAGGUCUAGUUGUCCCCCCCCCCCACACACAUAUAGAGAGAGAAGUCUAUUUGUCGUAAAAGUGACUGAAAGGGUAUAAUUAUAAAUUUGACAUCAAUCCAACAACAGCUCACAAAGCAUGCCAUUGAUCUCACGGGCUACAUCAGCUCACAAAGCAUGGACCAAACUGGCCACCAUCUAUGUCAAUCAAUCUCGGACAAGAAUUAUGGACCUUAAAGAUUACCUUGCUGAGGUUACAAAAGGCUCAAAAUCUGUCAGAGUAUAUGCAAAUAGUCCAAAUUAUCAAAGAUGAACUGGCCAUCAUUAAUGUUCCUAUUGAUGAAAGUGAUCUUACCAGUAGAGUACUUCGCAACCUUAGUUUAGAUUUCAAAGAAAUAUCUGUUGCCAUACUAUCAAGAGACACAUCAAUAACCUUUGCAGAGCUCCAUAACAGACUUGUGGAACAUGAAGGUUUCCUUAAGCUCGAGGAAAAGCAUUGAGGAAUUCUAUCGCUACUAACUACUCUCAACAUAAUGACAAUUACAAGUUUUGUGGCAAUCAAUUCUUUAAUAAGGACAAUCAUUCUUCUUCUCAGAUCAACAACCAUGUUAUUGGUGCUUAAUCUUUCAGCGCCAAUCAGAAUCGACAUCACCUAAAUAAGAACUAGAAGCCUCAAGUCUUGCCAAUACAAUGAUAAGGCAUGUCAUACAGCAAAGCAAUGCUACAAAAUUUGAAAGCCUCCCAACCCCAUGGCUUAAAUAACUAAAAUUGGUUAAUGAAAUACUGAAGCAUCUCAUCACAUUACUUUCAACCUCAAUAAUCUGUUAAUCCCACUUAGAACAUAAUGAAGGUGAUGAUAUUUUGUUGGGCAACGGUAAGAGCAUUCCUAUAACACACAUAGGUUCUGUUUCUUUAAAAACUCCUUCCAAAAACUGUACCUCAAUUUUCUUCGUAUUCCUUUCAUUAACAAAAACUUAGUAUUCAUUUCUUAACUUUGCAAACACAAUAAUACAUAGUUGAAUUUUUUUCCCAGUUGCUUUGUUGUUAAGGAUAUGAGCACAGGGGCACUACUGAUAUGAGGAACAAACAAGGGAAAUGUCUAUUUGUGGCCUUCAACCUGACCUAUCUGCCAUUAUCACCCCACAAGCUAUGACUGGAAUAAGAAUGUAGAAUCACAACUGGCAUAGACUUGUAAGACAUCCAUCCACCAAAGUCUUUUCUCAUCUUUGUUCUUCCAAACUUUUACUUUUCUCCUCCAAUAUCACAAGCUCUAUGCAUUUUCACUCUUGCUCAUGCAAUAAAAAUCAUAAAUUAUCUUUUGGUGUCUAUUCUUUCUAGCUCCAAACCCCUAAACUUGAUUUAUAUUCUUUCUAGUAAGAGAAUAUGAAUAAGGGAUCAAGUAAAUGGGGAUUAUAUAUAAUCGAUGAAUAGAAAAUACUUGUAGACAAACAAAAUUGGAUUCAAAGGAAAUCAAUAAAUGGAGAGGCUAGGGUUUUUUGAAUCAAGCCAAGGUGUAAUUGAUCGAUUUGAUACAAGCUCUAUUAGAUCUCCCUAUUAAGUGAGCUCAGUUGGAGAAUAAUUCUAUAAAAGCUAUAAUUUGAACACAAUAGCAAUUCAGUAGUCCUACAACUUUGUAUCGAGUUUAUGCGCAAUGAAUGCAGUAACAAGGAAACUUCUCUCUCUUUACAUCUCCAUUUUGGAGCCAAGCUAGCCCACCAAAACUAUUGCCUAGGACACUUAGGACCUCCACAUUAAGCCUUAAGAAGAUUAGAAGGAACUUAGUUGCAUACUACAUGUGUCAUGCACCCCCAAAAUCUAUCUUUAAAUAAACACACACACAAAAAUAAUAAAUAAAUAAAUAAAGGGGGGAAAAAAAAAGAAGGAAAGUUAUGUUGUCAACUUUCACACAAACUAGUUUGAUAUUGCUAAUGACAAUUUGGUGCAUACUUAUUACAAGAGUUGAACUAGAAUGAUCCUCUGAAACUGCAUUCUGAACUCAUUCUAUUGGUUUUUCUUUUUUUCUUUUUUUCUUUUUUCCUUUUUUACCUUAUAAUUUCUGCAGAUACCACCCCCUUAAGAAAUUGAAGGAGUUGAAUAGAAAGAAAGAUAUUGUGUGCCUUAUCUUAUCAUAUCCUCCUAUGAAUUCAGCUAACAAAGAGAGACACAAGAACUGGGUUCGGGAUGUUUUGAAGAUAAAUCACAAACUAAGGGAAAUGGAAACAUUUUCAAGCCAGCAAAAGACGAGUUUUUCAGAGCUAUCUUCUGAAAUCACUACACUGCUGGAUCAUUCACUCGAUGAUAUUGAAGCUUAUGUUCCACCAAUGAUCAUUGAGAAGAUGUGUGAGAAAACUUUGCAAGUAACAGAGCCUGAUGAAAAAUUACGUAAUUUGGCUGUUAAUUUUGCUACUCGCCAAAUUCUAGAAGAAAUAGAAAAUCCUGAGGUCCGGAGGAUCAGGAUUUCAGAAAGAGAUGGGAUCAGAGUAACAUCAGCAGUGAAAGAUCUACCUCAGAUACGAAAAAGGUUUAAUAUCAUCAUUCAGGUUGAUGCCUCAUCAUAUCCAAAUAUUAAAGGCAUUGAAGAGAAUAUCGCAACACAAUUAGGCUUCUCAUUGGACAUUUGGGUGUUAAAUAGCAUCUUGAAAAACACCAGUUUCUUAAUCUUUCUGGAUGACCUUUAUGAAAGGAUCGAUCUGUAUGAAGUGGGAAGAAAGUGGUGGAACUCAAAGAACAUUCAAAAGAUAGUUUGUUCGACUGGAUCCCAUGAAGUUCAUCAAAGAAUGGCAGUGGAUCGACAGAUCAGGUUGGAGGAUCAUCUGUUAUCUUGGGAAUUAUUUUGUUUGAAUGUUGGCAAAAUUGUGCAUUCUUCAAGUUUCCAACACAGAGCCAUUGAUGUGGUUCAAAAGUGUUCUGGCCAUUUACUUGCUGUUGCUCUAAUGGCAAGAGCUUUGAAAAUGGUCUUCGAUGUCAGCAUCUGGGAACAUGCAUCUUAUAUACUAAGCUUGUCUCACAGAUCUCAGUCGAAAGACACAGUUUUGUAUAAUGCAUUAGCUUUCAUUCUGGGGCGUUCAGGUUCAGCAGAUAAAUGUGUAAACUACUGUGCAUUUUACAUGGAGAGGGAAGGAGUGGACAAAGUUGAUUUGAUUCAGGAGUGGAUCAGACAUGCCUUAAUCAGCACAUUUGAUGAAGGAGAAAAAAUUGUUCACGAUCUUGUCAGUGCCUUCUUGUUAGAGAGUUUUCAGAAUGGAUAUUUUGUCCAAAUGCGGGAUGAAAUCCGUGAGGUGUUAGUAAAUUCACAAUUUCUUUUGCAAGGUGGAAAGGGUCUUACUAAGGCACCAAAAGAUGAGGCAUGGGAGGAAGCCAGUGAAAUCCAUUUGAUGAAUAAUAAAUUUUCUGAGCUGCCAAAGAGUCCAAAUUGUCCCCAACUCUGUGCAUUGUUCUUACAAAAGAACCCUUCUUUGCGAGUUAUUCCUCCACUUUUCUUUCAACAUAUGCCUAUACUCCAAAUCCUAGACUUGUCACAUACUAAAAUAAGAUCAUUACCUCAAUCUCUUUAUGGGUUGGCACAACUGCAAAGACUCUUUUUGAGAGGCUGUAAACUCUUCAUGGAGCUGCCACCUGAAGUCGGAAAACUCAGUAAUCUUAAGGUGCUUGAUCUUGAGGGGACUGAAAUUGUAAGGCUACCUGUGGAUGUUGGAAAAUUGACAAAUUUAACUUGCUUGAAAAUGUCAUUUUGUGGGGAUAAUGACAAUAGAAAAGAUAACCAAUACUCAAACAGAAUAAUUCCUCAGGGUGUGAUGCCCAAUCUAUUCCAUUUGAAAGAAUUAAUCAUAGAUGUCAAUCCUAAUGAUAAGCGAUGGAAUGCCAAUGUGGAAGAAAUUGUAGAGGAAGUGUGCAACUUAGACCGGUUGGAGGCGCUUCAACUUUACUUUCCAGAAGUUCUACUUUUGAAUAACUUGAUGGAUGGAUCAUCAAUAAACCUCCCAGGUAUGCGCUUUAGAUUUACUGUUGGCAGCCAUCUGAAGCCCAUAAUAUCCCGACUACCACUUGAAGCUAUAGCUAAAUUUGAAGAAGAAGAAAGAUGCUUGAAGUAUGUGAAUGGUAAAGGUGUCCCAACUAAAAUUGAGGAGGUACUUGAGCUCACUACUGCAUUGUUCCUGGAUCGCCAUUCAACUGCUACCAGUUUAUCUGAGUUUGGAAUUGAAAAUAUGAGGAAUCUAAAAGUUUGUGUAUUAGGCGAAUGUGAUGAGAUUCAAACCAUUACGGAUGCGGAUGAAGAUGAUGAUGGAGGUGUUGUACUUAAAUCACUAGAGUAUUUGAAUCUUUAUUAUAUGAAGAAUUUAAGGAGCAUUUGGAAGGGGCCACUUGGAUGGUGUUCUCUAUCACGUCUAAAAUCUUUGGUGCUGCAUACAUGCCCCCAAUUGACUACCAUUUUUACUUGGAAUGAGACUUUUUAUCUCACUAACUUAGAGGAGCUUGUAGUUGAAGAUUGCCCCAAAAUUGAAAGCAUAGUAGUGACUCAUGAUCCUACUGGUACUAAACCAAUGUUGUGGACAAAUUAUUUAUUCUCAAAGUUGAAGAAGAUAUCACUUCAUUACAUGCCUAAACUGGUCAGCAUUUCCAAUGGUCUACGCAUUUCACCAAUAUUAGAAUGGAUGAGCUUCUAUGAUUGUCCAAGCCUCAAAACUCUUUCCCCAGAGGAAGUUCACAGUAAUGAAUUGAAAGUGAUAAUAGGAGGGGCAGAAUGGUGGAGAGAAUUGAAGUGGAACAAAUCAGAAUGGCUUCAGCCACCCAAUCUGGAUGCUAUCUUUCAUCCAAUUGAAAAGGACACAUAUUUCGUUACACGUCUAGCAGAAAUUAAUGAUCAACUUCAAGCUAGGAUGCAAGAAACAGAGCUUUCUCAACAGUCAGGUUGUUUUUCCAUUCCUCUUUUUCUUCAAAGAUAAAAUGCUGAUCUCCAUUUUAUCUUACUUACACUUUACAUUGUCCUAUUACAUAUUUGAAC